GCCCGGGUGGCGGAACUGGCAGACGCAGCAGACUUAAGAUCUGCCGCUCUCAAAAGCGUGUGGGUUCGAGUCCCACCCCGGGCACCA
rnacentral:tRNA from 1 species